GGUGAUUUGACAGCUGAAGCUGACAAAUACCGCCAAAUUCCUCUGGAGUAAUUUUUAUUUGUAUCUAUUGUUAAUUAAGUUAUAACGAAAUUUAAGCGAUUUAAACUAAAACUUGUGUAUCGAAAAUUUCUACUUUCUGUUUGAAUCACCAUUAUCAAUAAAUCGUUUGAAAUAUAAACUUAAGAGACUUGUUUGAAAUGGAUAUCAAUUUGGAUAUUCACCCAAAGCCAUUUACAGAACAUUUGGAGGUUCAAUAUUUCCCAGCUGAAAUUGAAAGCGAUGGAGAAGCUAAUGUGAACGAGUACUUUAAUAACUAUACCGUUAGCGAAAACGGUCAUCUGACUAAUUCCCUUCGUGGAUUUCCACUAGACGGAAUAGAAUUUCAAGUGCCAUCGAAUUUAAAAGGACUUGUCUUCCAAGAGUCCUUAAAUACUUCGGAUGAAAAUUGUGGUAAACUUUUCAGAGUAGCAGGCACAUUUGAUAAUUUUACGUAUUGGAAUUAUGAUAAAGUCCCUUCUGCGGCCGAUGGGUUGCGCCAGGCUUUUGAAGUUUUGGCUGUUGCUGACGAACUUAACAAGCCUUUAUCUGCCAAGGAUAUUCAGAAUGAAAUCGAUCAUAAAUUAAGUAUUAAAAAAGAAGAGUCUUGAUGGUUUACAUACAUUUUAUUUGGAAUUUAGAUAUGUAAGAAAAUAAAGUUUUGGAAUAGGAUCUUGUGGACCAAAAAACUUUAAAGAGGCAAAAUAAAACUCCCAAAAAGGCAUAAAAAGGCAUUUAUUGUGAGAAAGAAUGAAAUAUAAAAAUUAAUUGUAGUAAUUUUGAACAA